AGCAGCCGCGGUAAUUCCAGCUCCAAUAGCGUAUAUUAAAGUUGUUGCAGUUAAAAAGCUCGUAGUUGAAUUUCGGGGUUAGUAGGUUGGUCAUGCCUCUGGUAUGUACUGGUCUCACUGAUUCCUCCUUCCUGAUGAACCGUAAUGCCAUUAAUUUGGUGUUGCGGGGAAUUUGGACUGUUACUUUGAAAAAAUUAGAGUGUUUAAAGCAAGCUAACGCUUGAAUACAUUAGCAUGGAAUAAUGAAAUAGGACGUUCGAUCCUAUUUUGUUGGUUUCUAGGAUUGACGUAAUGAUUAAUAGGGAUAGUUGGGGGCAUUAGUAUUCAAUUGUCAGAGGUGAAAUUCUUGGAUUUAUUGAAGACUAACUACUGCGAAAGCAUUUGCCAAGGAUGUUUUCAUUAAUCAAGAACGAAAGUUAGGGGAUCGAAGACGAUCAGAUACCGUCGUAGUCUUAACCAUAAACUAUGCCGACUAGGGAUCGGAUGAUGUUAAUUUAAUGACUCA
rnacentral:rRNA from 1 species